rnacentral:rRNA from 1 species
AACGUAGGACACAAGCGUUAUCCGGAGUUACUGGGCGUAAAGGGCGUGUAGGCGGACCUAUAAGUCUAUUCUGAAAGCUCCUGGCUAAACUGGGAGAGGCGAAUGGAGACUGUAGAUCUAGAGUGAGAAAGAGGAAAGUGGAAUUCCGCGUGUAGUGGUGAAAUGCGUAGAGAUGCGGAGGAACACCAGUGGCGAAAGCGACUUUCUGGUCCUUAACUGACGCUGAGGCGCGAAAGCAUGGGGAGCGAACGGG